rnacentral:rRNA from 1 species
CCUACGGGUGGCAGCAGUGGGGGAUAUUGCACAAUGGGGGAAACCCUGAUGCAGCGACGCCGCGUGGGUGAAGAAGCGCCUCGGCGCGUAAAGCCCUGUCAGCAGGGAAGAAAAUGACGGUACCUGAAGAAGAAGCCCCGGCUAACUACGUGCCAGCAGCCGCGGUAAUACGUAGGGGGCAAGCGUUAUCCGGAUUUACUGGGUGUAAAGGGGGCGCAGACGGCGAUGCAAGCCAGGAGUGAAAGCCCGGGGCCCAACCCCGGGACUGCUCUUGGAACUGCGUGGCUAGAGUGCAGGAGGGGCAGGCGGAAUUCCUGGUGUAGCGGUGAAAUGCGUAGAUAUUAGGAGGAACACCAGUGGCGAAGGCGGCCUGCUGGGCUUUUACUGACGCUGAGGCUCGAAAGUGUGGGGAGCAAACAGGAUUAGAUACCCUGGUAGUC